AUUGAACGCUGGCGGCAGGCUUAACACAUGCAAGUCGAGCGGAGAGAGGUAGCUUGCUACUGAUCUUAGCGGCGGACGGGUGAGUAAUGCUUAGGAAUCUGCCUAUUAGUGGGGGGCAACAUUUCGAAAGGAAUGCUAAUACCGCAUACGUCCUACGGGAGAAAGCAGGGGAUCUUCGGACCUUGCGCUAAUAGAUGAGCCUAAGUCGGAUUAGCUAGUUGGUGGGGUAAAGGCCUACCAAGGCGACGAUCUGUAGCGUGUCUGAGAGGAUGAUCCGCCACACUGGGACUGAGACACGGCCCAGACUCUUACGGGAGGCAGCAGUGGGGAAUAUUGGACAAUGGGCGGAAGCCUGAUCCAGCCAUGCCGCGUGUGUGAAGAAGGCCUUAUGGUUGUAAAGCACUUUAAGCGAGGAGGAGGCUACUUUAGUUAAUACCUAGAGAUAGUGGACGUUACUCGCAGAAUAAGCACCGGCUAACUCUGUGCCAGCCGCCGCUGUAAUAC
rnacentral:rRNA from 1 species